rnacentral:rRNA from 1 species
GACGUAGGGGCGCGAGCGUUGUUCGGAUUCAUUGGGCGUAAAGGGUGCGUAGGCGGCGCGGUAAGUCGGGUGUGAAAUCUCGGAGCUUAACUCCGAAACUGCAUUCGAUACUGCCGUGCUUGAGGACUGGAGAGGAGACUGGAAUUUACGGUGUAGCGGUGAAAUGCGCAGAUAUCAGGAGGAACACCGAUGGCGAAGGCAGGUCUCUGGGCCACUACUGACGCUGAGAAGCGAAAGCAUGGGGAGCGAACAGG